GAACACAAAAUGGCGACACGUGGUUAGCAUUCGUCGCCAACGAGAAAUUGGGGUCGGCCCGAAAGCUCUAGAAUGCACCCCUCUUCCUCCCCGGGGCCUUCCACCUCCGCGAGUUUUAUGACUUAAAAAAGCCCACAGGCUGGUCUGAAGACUUCCUAGCAUGGGCUGUUGUGCUGGAGAGAACGAGAGCUACGAAGAGACUACAGUGCCUCUGACUUUUUCAUAGGACAGUUGGCCGAGGAAGACAAACAUAAAGAUGAAGUGCUUAAUUCAAGGUCACACAAUGUCGGGGAUGGACCUCCAGAUUUCCUUACUGGUGAGACGUGGUCUUGUAACACAGUGGUUAAGAAUGUGACUUUGGAGCCAGCCUGCUAGGGGCUGAAUUCUGACUCAGCCAUUUACUAACUGUGUGACCUUAGGUGGGUUCCCAAGCCUGUAAAAUGUAAGCCUUAUGCUGCUGAGGGCCAUCUUGCCACCCUGAGGGAAACGCUGCCUGAGAAUGAAACAAGCAUAAGUAAAAGCUGAGCUGUGAGAUGGAGCAAGAUGAAGGCCACAUGACAUCUUUGGAGCACCUGGAUCUAACUGUGCCUUAAGCUAGUCUAACCCUGAACAUUUCAUCAUUUCAUUGACAUGAGCCCAGGUUUUCUUUUUUUUUGGAUGGAGUCUUGCUCUGUCGCCCAGGCUGGAGUGCAGUAGCUCAAUCUCGGCUCACUGCAAGCUCCACCUCCCGGGUUCACGCCAUUCUCCUGCCUUAGCCUCCCAAGUAGCUGGGACAACAGGCGCCCACCACCACUCCCAGCUAAUUUUUUGUAUUUUUAGUAGAGACGGGGUUUUACCAUGUUAGCCGGGAUGGUCUUGAUCUCCUGACCUCAUGAUCCGCCCGCCUCGGCCUCCCAAAGUGCUGGGAUUACAGGUGUGAGCCACUGCACCCAGCCCUCAGGUUUUCCCUUUUUUUACCCCUCCUUUUGAAAAUUUGAUGUGGAAUUUUGCCACCUGCAGCCAGAAGAGUUUUAACUAAUCAGUGCCAUAAAUUUUAUAUAGUUCUCCUUGCAAAAUGUGGAUCAGCCUUUCUCAGCAAAUCCUUUGUCAUAAAGUGCUGAAUUGUAAGUUUGUCAUGAGAAUCACAUGAGAUCAUGCAUGUGAAGAACCUGGCAUUAUCCUCCUCAUAGAAAAAAACCAGUAAAUAUUAACUACAGGAAGCAAGGAAGGAGUGGGGUGAGGGGAAGAAGAAGGGGUACUGAUUUAAAAGAACCCUGGAGUCCUAAGGAUAAUCUAGGAACCCUCAGACCCAAUCCGAUACCCCUAUUCUAAAUGCUCCUAGUGCCCUGUACCUUCCCCUCAUAAGCCUUCAUUAUCAUUGUAAUGAUAUGUUUAUGUAAUAUUUUGAUUAAUGUCUCUCCUUCACUGACCUAGCAGUUCUAGCAGGGCAGUGAUUUUGCUGUGUUGCAUCCCCAGCACCUAGUCUGGUAUGUGGCAUUCAGCAUAUGUUUAUUGAAUGAAUGGCCAUGUGGUUAUUCAGAUCCUCCUUGAUUAUUGGGGUUAGGAUUGUGGCAGAAGUGGCAAAAUCAGGGAGAGUAGUCCCUGUCCCCUCUGUAUCUUAUACACUGCCCACACUCCCAACACACAUACACAUACAGAGAAUUUUGUCUCAAUUAGAUAAUUAACUUCUGCUUGGUUGUAAACCAAACCACUGGUUCUUAAACUUUCAUUGGAUCAUUUUAUUGAAGAAUUAAAUAGUGUGGUUCUGGCCUAAUGUCUGGAAAGCCUUGCAGAGGAGUGGAUUAGGUCUUUGUGAUAAACAGGCAGCCUUCCCUGCUCCUGUGUCUUUAUAAAAUCUAUUUAACUGGAGUAGUCCACCCUCCCUCAGGCUCUUACAGGAAUAUGUUGGAGGCUGUAGGAAGGUGGGAAACCGAGAGGGAAAGGACUGGGCCGCUGGAGACUUCACUCAUUCCCUAGCAAGAAACAAAAGCAGUAAAAGGUGGCCCGAGGACAACCUGAAGCUCACUCCUUCAGCACUUUUGGCUGGAGGUCACUUGUUGGAGCCCCACUCAGAGCUCAGCACACCACCCCACCAGCAGCCUCCUCCUCCCAGCUGAGGCUGCAUUUCAUCCCUUCCCCCAGCCUGCUUUCCCUGAGAUAGGGGAGUGUUUCCCAGGGCCCAUGUGACUUCCACUGGCAAGUGACGAUUACCAAUGGUUUACUAGUCAGUGAAACUACCAAAGGCUUUUGUGCUGUAGUAAUCCUUUUCCUGUUUAAAACUCUGGGGAUUUUCUAAUGUUGCCAAUAGUUUUUCAAGUCAGCAAUUACUGUGUGGAUUAUGUAAUGGCUCG
ensembl:lncRNA PCBP1-AS1 PCBP1 antisense RNA 1